rfam:Microgenomates (Roizmanbacteria) bacterium GW2011_GWC2_41_7 TT78_C0060, whole genome shotgun sequence.
GCAGCGGUAGCUUAGCCCGGCUUAAAGCGCCUCCCUGUCACGGAGGAGAUCACGGGUUCGAAUCCCGUUCGCUGCG